rnacentral:rRNA from 1 species
AAAAGUCGUAACAAGGUUUCCGUAGGUGAACCUGCGGAAGGGUCAUUA